UGUAUUUUUAGUAGAGAUGGGGCUUCUUCAUGUUGGUCAGGCUGGUCUCCAACUCCAGACCUCAGGUGAUCCGCCCGCCUCGGCCUGCCAAAGUGCUGGGAUUAUAGGCAUGAGCCACCGCACCCGGCCCGGGACUUCAUUUUGAGGGGGCCUGACCGUUAACCUCCGAGAGAUCUCUCAGUUGGCAAAGCAUGUCUGGAAGGAAGUCUGGUUCAUCACAGCAGGGACUGACAUUCCUGUAGUAAGAGAGAUUUUGUGCCCUUGUGCUGACUACCACAAUACCAUGAUUGCUCAGUCAUAGAAGUUGCCAGGAGAAGAAAGAGAUUAGAAGCAAUGGUAAGGUGAACCCCUGAGUCACUACUCUUAGACUUCAGGAAUAUUUAUAUAUUUUUUUGGAGACAGAGUAUCACUCUGUCACCCAGGCUGGGGUUACAGGCACAAGCUAUUGCACCUGGCCUGUAUUUUUGUGUUUAGAUAUGUAAAUACUUACCACUGUAUUAUAAUUGCCUGCAGUGUUUAGUACAGUAGCAUGCUGUAAAGGUUUGAAGUCUAGGAACAAUUGGCUGUCCCAUAUAGCCUAGGUGUGUAGAAGGCCGUACCAUAGGGGGAAAAGUAGUCCAUUGGAGGGUUUUGACUGGGAGAAUGACAUGACUUGAUUUAUGUGUUUAAAAGAUUAUUCUGGCUCUUGUGUUGAGGACUGACCAUAGAGAGUGUUGUCAUGUAACAAACCACUCCAAUAGUAGCUUAAAACAAUAAAGUGUUAUUGUCUCUGACAGUUCUUUGGGUAACUGGGCUCAGCUGGGUGGUUUUCACUUGGGGUCUCAUGUGGUUUCCAUCAGGUAAUGGCUGGAGCUGGUGUCAUCUGAAGACUCGACUGGGCUGGAUGUCCAAGAUGGCUCCUUCACUCAAUUAUCUGAGUCUUAGUUUUCCUUUGCAUGGCUUCUCUCUUCAGCAGAGUAACCUGGACUUGUUGUGUGACAGCUCAGGUUUCCAGGAGUCAGGACACAGGAACUGCCAGCCCUCUUAAAAGCUAGGCUGGAAGUACACAGCAUUACUUCUACCAUAUUUCAUCAAUCAGAUAGUCAUAGGUCAGCCCCAGAUUGAAGGCGGUGGAAGGCUGGACUCUCCUUCUCAGUAGGGAAGUGACAGAAACCUAUAGG
rnacentral:lncRNA from 1 species